rnacentral:rRNA from 1 species
UACAGAGGUCCCGAGCGUUGUUCGGAUUCACUGGCGUAAAGGGUGCGUAGGUGGUCGGGUAAGUCUGAGGUGAAAUCUCCGAGCCCAACUCGGAAACUGCCUUGGAUACUAUUCGGCUAGAGUGUUGCAGGGGAGACUGGAAUUCCUGGUGUAGCGGUGAAAUGCGCAGAUAUCAGGAGGAACACCGGUGGCGAAGGCGGCUCACUGGCCCGGUACUGACGCUGAGGUGCGAAAGCGUGGGGAGCAAACAGG